GGGAAAAUCACAUUAAGGGUAUAUGGUGAAUGCCUUGACUCAAGAAGACGAUGAAGGACGUAGCAGCCUGCGAUAAGCCUCGGUUAGGUGGCAAGCAACCUUUGAUCCGAGGAUUUCCGAAUGGGGAAACCUAUUCCGAUUCAUAUCGGAAUGUCCGCCAGCUGAAUACAUAGGUUGGUGAGACGACUACCCGGUGAACUGAAACAUCUUAGUAGCCGGAGGAAAAGAAAAUAAUAUACCGUGCAAAGCACGGAAAUUCCAAUAACCAAAUCCCAAAUUCCAAACAAUAUCUAAAUUCAAAAUACAAAAUUCAAAAAAUUUGUUGGGAAAUUGUCAAUUGAAUGUUAGAAUUUGUUUGUGAUUUGGUGCUUGGGAUUUGGAAUUUCCGCGCUCUGCGCGGUCAUUCCCCGAGUAGUGGCGAGCGAAAGGGGAUCAGUCUAAACCUUUUAAACCGCGUUUAAGUUCGUGCCUCACUAGCGUUCGGCACUCACUCAAUUAAAAAUUACGAAUUAUCAAUUACGAAUUAAAAUUCUGAAUUUAAUCCGUAAUUCGUAAUUGUUAAUUGAUAAUUGGAGUGCUGAACGGCAGCGAGGCACGACUUAGGCAGAAGGAUCUAGGUCCAGAUGUUUUUAAGGCGUUGUAAGAUAGUUGUUGUUACUUCCUAGAAGAGUAAGGUAGAGGUUAAAUAAAGUAACUUUCCUAGUUGAAGCGAGCUGGAAAGCUCCGCCAGAGCGGGUGAUAGCCCCGUAAGCCAAAGGAGUUAUUACUCUACGAUAACAUUCUUAAGUACUGCGGGACUCGUGAAAUCCCGUACGAAACCGGGUCGACUAUGACCCAAGACUAAAUACUUCUUGAGAUCGAUAGUGAACAAGUACCGUGAGGGAAAGGUGAAAAGCAUCCCGGUAAGGGAGAUGAAAUAGUAUCUGAAACCAUAUACUUACAAAGAGUCGGAGCGGUGUUGCACAUUGAAUAGUAUUUAUUUUGUAUUGAAUAGUGGUUUUGACAUAAAGUCAGGUCCGUCAAAUAGCAGAGAACGCGAGGAUUUAUCGCAAGCGAUUGCGACUCAGGUCUCUCGUAGGGCUGCUUAGUCUGGGCAACCGGACAGGACGCAUUGACACAAACAGUUGUGUCGAAACCAUUAGGGGAUGGACAGAAUUCGCCAUCCCCGCCCACUAUUCAAUACAAAAUAUUCUUAAAUAGUAUUUAAUGUGCAGCACCGUGACGGCGUGCCUAUUGAGGAAUGAGUCAACGAGUUUGCUGUAUGUGGCUCACAUAAUCUCGUUAAACGAGAGCAUGUAAAGUGAAAGCGAGGGUUAAUAGCCCGUCUCUUACUUUUUAGAAAGCAGGCCUUAAAAACCUUCUUUCUAAAUUUUAAGAAAGUCGCAUAUACAAGACCCGAAGCCGGGUGAUCUAGCCAUGACCAGGUUGAACCCUCGAGAAAUCGAGGGGGAGGACCGAACCCACGAGCCGUGCAAAACUCGGGGAAGAGUUGUGGUUAGCGGUGAAAUUCCAAUCGAACUCGGCAAUAGCUGGUUCUCCUCGAAAUAGCUUUUGGGCUAGCCUCGAGCGUUUCUUUCUGGGGGUAGAGCACUGAAUGAGGAUAGGUCGCAAGAUACUGUUCUUAACCAAACUCCGAAUACCAGAAAAUUAAGCUCGGGAGUCAGACUAUGGGCGCUAAGGUUCAUCAGUCUAAAGGGAAACAGCCCUAAUCGCAAGCUAAGGUCCCUAAAUAUAUGCUAAGUGUGAAAGGCGGUGUUGCGACUGUAACAACUAGGAGGUUGGCUUAGAAGCAGCCAUCCUUUAAAGAAAGCGUAACAGCUCACUAGUCAAGUUGCCGCGCGCCGAAAAUUUAUCGGGGCUAAGCAUAUUACCGAAGCUGCGGGUUUUCUGCCUUCGGGCAGAGAGCGGUAGAGGAGCGUUCUAAAUCCGCUGAAGUUCACGCCGUGAGGCGGAGUGGAGGAUUUAGAAGAGAGAAUGUUGACAUGAGUAGCAUAAAGGCAGGCGAAAACCCUGCCCACCAAAAAUUCAAGGUUUCCUGGGCAACGCAAAUCGACCCAGGGUUAGUCGGUCCUAAGACGAGGCCGGUGUAAUGCCGGCGUAGCCGAUGGAUGAGCUGGUUAAUAUUCCAGCACUGCCGUAAUCUUCCGAUGGGGAGACGCGGUUUCAAAGUUUGAGCGUUUCUAUGGUAUGAGCGUUAAUGGCGUUGGCAAUAGAUCCAGGCAAAUCCGGAUCAAUGUUUUCCGAUGUCGUUAAAAGACGAAGCCUCUGGUGGAGUCAAUUCAAAUGGCCAAACCGCCCAGAAAAACCUCUAGGGUCGCCGCAAGGCGAGUCGGAUUAUGGCAACCGUACCGCAAACCGACACAGGUGAAUAAGUCGAGUAGACUAAGGUGUACGAGAGAACCUUCGUUAAGGAACUCGGCAAAAUAGCGGUCGUAAGUUCGCAAUAAGACUUGCCCCCACCAUUUAGCUCUUUGAAGCAAAAAAUUUGGUUGGGUCAAGCAAAAGUAAAUACUGGUCCAGAAGUCUGGACGAAAACAUAUGGUAGAUCGUUUGGGGUUUAUGCGCCUACCUCCGUAUAAGGAAAUGAAGAUACCCCGAAACAACAAAGAACUAGUUGUUUCCUAUUUACUCAAGCUUGAUCCAACCUUCUUUCCUCUUUGUUUAAAAGAGGGCUAAAUGGUGGGGGCCGCAGCUAAAGAAUUCAAGUGACUGUUUAACAAAAACACAGCUCCCUGCUAACUCUAACGAGGAUGUAUAGGGGGUGAUGCCUGGCCAGUGUCCGAACGUUAAGGGGAGAAGUCAUCGCGCUUCGCUAAGGCUCAGCGCUAAAUUAAAAAUUAAAAAUUUAAAAAUGAAUUACCCCACCGCAAGCGGAUGGGGUUUCCGCUUAUCUUAUUAUGUCAGAAAACCUUAGCGGUUUUCCGACACCUUUCCCUUGCAAGGUGAUGGAGCUCGCUUCGCUCGCGAUUUAAUAAAUCGUCGCGGAGCGACACCAAAAUUUUACAUUUUGAUUUUUACAUUUUACAUUUAGCGGAGCGUUAGCGGAGCGCGGGCAGCUUUGAUCCGAAGCGCGGAUGAACGCCGGCGAUAACUAUAAUCGUCCUAAGGUAGCGAAAUCCCUUGUCGGGUAAGUUCCGACCUGCACGAAUGGCAUAACAACUUGAAUACUGUCUCAACGAAGGACUCGGUGAAAUUGCAAGAUGAGUAAAGAUGCUCAUUAACCAUAGUUGGACGAAAAGACCCCGUGAAGCUUUACUAUAGCUUGAUAUUGAGUUAGGGGCGCGCUUGUUCAGAAUAGGUGGGAGUUCGCCGCAAGGCGGACGCCAGUGAGAUACCACCCUUGUGUGCUUUUAAUUCUAACCCUUGUCCGUGAAGCCGGACUGGGGACAGUAUCUGGUGGGUAGUUUGUCUGGGGCGGAUGCCUCCCAAAAGGUAACGGAGGCGUUUACAAAGGUUGGCUAUCCCGGAAUGGAAACCCGGGAGAUAGCGUAAAGGCACAAGCCAGCUUUACUGCGAGACCUACGAGUCAAGCAGUCGCGAAAGCGGAACUUAGUGAUCCGACCGUGCGAUAUAGGACGGCGGAAGCUCAUCGGAUAAAAGCUACUCCGGGGAUAACAGGCUAGUCUUGCCCAAGCGUCCACAGCGACGGCAAGGUUCGGCACCUUAACAUAUCGGGGUGCCAUCUCGAGUAAUCGAGUGAAUAAAAUUGGCUUAUAACGGUGGACUCCAUAAUUUACUUAGUUUAUAAUAUAAUUAUGGACAAUACCGUGGGAAGUCUAACUCAAGAGCAAAAAUCAAUAAUCAUCGGCUCGAUUUUAGGCGAUGGUUAUUUGCGCAUUAUUGAGUUAUGACCCUCUAGAGACUUGUUUCUUUUUACAUUAAAAAAGAACUUAUAGCGUUGCGGUUAAUUUUAUAGCGCUAUAACACGCCAACUCCUGUUGGAAUUUUAACAGGAUGAAGAUAUAGUCCGAUCCUGCGAGUAAUCGCAGAAAAAUACCGACAGCGAUGUCGGCUCGUCGCAUCCUGGGGGUGGAGAAAACGUCAUCUUCUCUCCCUAUCGGAAACGAUAGGGUAAUAAACGAAUCCAAAACGGUGAAGGCCCUUAAAUAUAUUAAUUAGGGUUUGCAUAAUUUGCAGACCCCAGGUAUAAUAAAUUUAUGAGGGUUAACCCCGUGGGAAAGUUAUUAACUGAAGUACAAGCGAGUUAUCUCGCUGGUUUUAUCGAUGGAGAUGGAGCAAUCAUGGCCUUACUCGAACGUCAUGGCGAAAAACGCUUUGGUUUUCGGGUUAGAAUAGAAAUUAAAGUCACGCAGCAUCAUCGCAAUGAUGUCUCUUGGCUUUUGGCUUUAACCGGUAUCGGUUAUAUCAGAAAGAAUGUCCGUUGCCAUGAGUGGAUAGUUAGGGAUCAAAUAGCAGCCAAGCGGCUGUUAAAGACUCUGGCUCCAUAUUCACAUACUAAAAAUAAGCAGAUAAAAAUUGCUUUGGAGAUUUUAAAUCAUCCCAAGCAGACCUUGGUGGAUUUAACCGCCAUGGCUCGAUUGGCAGAUACAUUGUCCGCGUUUAAUGUUCGGUCCAAAAACCGGCGGAGAAACUAUGCGGCAAUGAUCCAAGUUAAUAGCUCCCGUAACGACUGAUUCUUGUUAAUUUUUGGUUAACAAGAUGAGAUAGGCGCUUAUGUUUGUUUAAAGAAUUUGCGCGCUUAUCACACGGUUCGCACCUAAGAGUUUUGUUUGGCGACAAACAGAACUACGGUGAUGGUAUAGUCUUACCCCAUUAGUAAUAAUGGAAGGUCGAGCUCCCAAGGGUUGGGCUGUUCGCCCAUUAAAGCGGCACGCGAGCUGGGUUCAGACCGUCGUAAGACAGGUCGGUCUCCUAUCUACUAUGGUCGUGGAAACUUGAGAAGGACACUCUUUAGUACGAGAGGACCGAGAGUGACGAAGCUCUAGUGUACCGACUGUCCCACCAGGGGCAUCGCCGGGUAGCUAUCUUCGGUUAGGAUAAACGCUGAAAGCAUCUAAGCGUGAAGCCGUCUUCAAGAUUAAGUUUCAUAGGCUCCCAAGAGAAUAUUGGGUUGAUAGGCCCUAGGUGUAAGGUCCGCAAGGACUUCAGCCGAGGGGUACUAAUAAGCCGUAUGAUUUUCCCAC
rfam:Parcubacteria bacterium GW2011_GWC2_42_12 TT95_C0016, whole genome shotgun sequence.